rnacentral:misc_RNA from 1 species
AACAAGGCGUACCUGCGGACCUGCGGAAGGAUCAUUACAGAGUGUUUAACCCCCUAUAAAAUGGUGGGUCUAACCUCCCGUCCUUUGCUGGGUCCCCCUUCUGGAGGACUUUCAAAACUUUCUGCUUCGGCGGGGUAUACCCGCCGGAACACCCUCAAAAAAUUCUUGAUCAAAAUGGUUCGGUCCGAGAAACUUUUUGUGAAAAUUAGCGAAAAACUUUCAACAACGGAUCUCAGAUCG